GAUGAACGCUGGCGGCGUGCCUAAUACAUGCAAGUCGAGCGAACGGACGAGAAGCUUGCUUCUCUGAUGUUAGCGGCGGACGGGUGAGUAACACGUGGAUAACCUACCUAUAAGACUGGGAUAACUUCGGGAAACCGGAGCUAAUACCGGAUAAUAUUUUGAACCGCAUGGUUCAAAAGUGAAAGACGGUCUUGCUGUCACUUAUAGAUGGAUCCGCGCUGCAUUAGCUAGUUGGUAAGGUAACGGCUUACCAAGGCAACGAUGCAUAGCCGACCUGAGAGGGUGAUCGGCCACACUGGAACUGAGACACGGUCCAGACUCCUACGGGAGGCAGCAGUAGGGAAUCUUCCGCAAUGGGCGAAAGCCUGGCGGAGCAACGCCGCGUGAGUGGUGAAGGUCUUCGGAUCGUAAAACUCUGUUAUUAGGGAAGAACAUAUGUGUAAGUAACUGUGCACAUCUUGACGGUACCUAAUCAGAAAGCCACGGCUAACUACGUGCCAGCAGCCGCGGUAAUACGUAGGUGGCAAGCGUUAUCCGGAAUUAUUGGGCGUAAAGCGCGCGUAGGCGGUUUUUUAAGUCUGAUGUGAAAGCCCACGGCUCAACCGUGGAGGGUCAUUGGAAACUGGAAAACUUGAGUGCAGAAGAGGAAAGUGGAAUUCCAUGUGUAGCGGUGAAAUGCGCAGAGAUAUGGAGGAACACCAGUGGCGAAGGCGACUUUCUGGUCUGUAACUGACGCUGAUGUGCGAAAGCGUGGGGAUCAAACAGGAUUAGAUACCCUGGUAGUCCACGCCGUAAACGAUGAGUGCUAAGUGUUAGGGGGUUUCCGCCCCUUAGUGCUGCAGCUAACGCAUUAAGCACUCCGCCUGGGGAGUACGACCGCAAGGUUGAAACUCAAAGGAAUUGACGGGGACCCGCACAAGCGGUGGAGCAUGUGGUUUAAUUCGAAGCAACGCGAAGAACCUUACCAAAUCUUGACAUCCUUUGACAACUCUAGAGAUAGAGCCUUCCCCUUCGGGGGACAAAGUGACAGGUGGUGCAUGGUUGUCGUCAGCUCGUGUCGUGAGAUGUUGGGUUAAGUCCCGCAACGAGCGCAACCCUUAAGCUUAGUUGCCAUCAUUAAGUUGGGCACUCUAAGUUGACUGCCGGUGACAAACCGGAGGAAGGUGGGGAUGACGUCAAAUCAUCAUGCCCCUUAUGAUUUGGGCUACACACGUGCUACAAUGGACAAUACAAAGGGCAGCGAAACCGCGAGGUCAAGCAAAUCCCAUAAAGUUGUUCUCAGUUCGGAUUGUAGUCUGCAACUCGACUACAUGAAGCUGGAAUCGCUAGUAAUCGUAGAUCAGCAUGCUACGGUGAAUACGUUCCCGGGUCU
rnacentral:rRNA from 1 species